UACGUAGGGACCAAGCGUUGUUCGGAUUUACUGGGCGUAAAGGGCGCGUAGGCGGCGCGGUAAGUCACUUGUGAAAUCUCUGAGCUUAACUCAGAACGGCCAAGUGAUACUGCAGUGCUAGAGUGUGGAAGGGGCAAUCGGAAUUCUUGGUGUAGCGGUGAAAUGCGUAGAUAUCAAGAGGAACACCUGAGGUGAAGACGGGUUGCUGGGCCAACACUGACGCUGGGGCGCGAAAGCCAGGGGAGCAAACAGG
rnacentral:rRNA from 1 species